rnacentral:rRNA from 1 species
GGAUCUUCCACAUGGGCGCAGCCUGAUGGAGCAACACCGGCGUGAGUGAAGAAGGGUUUCGGCUCGUAAAGCUCUGUUGUUGAAGAAGAACGUGCGUGAGAGUAACUGUUCACGCAGUGACGGAAUUCAACCAGAAAGUCACGGCUAACUACGUGCCAGCAGCCGCGGUAAUA